rnacentral:rRNA from 1 species
AGCUCCAAUAGCGUAUAUUAAAGUUGUUGCGGUAAAAAAGCUCGUAGUUGGAUUUCUGUUGAAGACGACCGGUCCAUACCACGUAUGCGCAUCUGGUUCGGCUUCGGCAUCCUCUCGAAAGACGUUUCUGCGCUUGAUUGCGUGGAGCGGAUCUCGGGACUUUUACUUUGAGGAAAUUAGAGUGUUCACGGCAGGCUAUCGCCAGAAUACAUUAGCAUGGAAUAAUACUAUAGGAUCUCGGUUCUAUUUUGUUGGUUUCUAGAAUUGAGAUAAUGAUUAAUAGGGACAAUUGGGGGCAUUCGUAUCAACACGUUAGAGGUGAAAUUCUUGGAUCGUGUUGCGACGAACUACUGCGAAAGCAUUUGCCAAGGAUGUUUUCAUUGAUCAAGAACGAAAUUAGAGCACCUGCU